UGAGGAAUAUUGCACAAUGGGCGAAAGCCUGAUGCAGCGACACCGCGUGAAGGAUGAAGGUCUUAGGAUUGUAAACUUCUGUUAAGUGGGAAAAAAGAACCGCCUCAAAUAAAGGCGGGUGAUGAUGGUACCACUAGAGAAAGCACCGGCUAACUUCGUGCCAGCAGCCGCGGUAAUACGAGGGGUGCAAACGUUAUUCGGAAUUACUGGGUGUAAAGGGUACGUAGACGGCAUAUUAAGUCAAUUGUUAAAUUCCCCAGCUUAACUGGGGGUAGGCGGUUGAAACUAAUAAGCUAGAGGAUGAGAGAGAGAAGUGGAAUUCUCGGAGUAGCGGUAAAAUGCGUAGAUCUCGAGAGGAACACCGAUGGCGAAGGCAGCUUCUUGGCUCAUUUCUGACGUUGAGGUACGAAAGCGUGGGGAGCAAACAGG
rnacentral:rRNA from 1 species